CCUUUUUAUUCGUAUUUUAAAACCUACUUUUCUACAAAAUCACUGUAAUUCGUAAGAAUUUAUUUUAAAGAACAUUUGUUAGUUUGAUGCACCACUACAUUCAAGGGAGCUGAUAGUGUGUGUGUCACAGCUAUGUUUCAGUGCCAAAAAAUUAAUAGAUCAUAUGCUUAAUAAAACAAUGCAUUAUAAAAAAAAAAAAAGGUUAAUACAGCUGCCCAAAGCUGAGAUUGUGGCAUCUCUAACUACAGGUCUGUCAUUUGUAAGCAAUUAUUCUAAGUUUUAUUAAUACACUAGAGUUUGUGAUGCGUGUGUGUGCCAGUUAUGUUUCAGUGCCAACGAAAUUAGAUCAUAUGCUUUAAUAAAAUAAUAAAAAAAUGUUAACACAGAACUCGGCUAAUGAUAUGCUGCACAAAGCUGAAGUUGUUAUAAUUUUAAUUAAUUGCAAUAAUAGUAAUAGCUUUAAACAAAAAACACAUUGGUAUUCAAUUAAAUCUAGUGUCUAUUUCCUUAUGAAUGAGCCAGAUCCAACAGAAAUUAUUAUUUUUAUUAGUCGUAGUGCUAUUGAAGGGGUGGGGGGUGGAGGGGGGUAUUGGAUUGGGAAACAACGUUGUUGUUCUUGACAGGUUCACCUCAGGUGUUCUCUGAUGUAACAUCAUUAUUGGUGUGUACAGGUUCAGUGUGUGCGUCAUCAACAAAAGGAACUCGCAAAUAAGUCUCAUCUUUACACAAGACAUCUCAAAGAUGCAGUUUACUUUUCUGAAAACAAUAAAGGUACAGCUGUGCUCCAAAGAGAGACAUCAUGUGAUUUAGUGUUUUUUCAAUUUUUUGAAAUAUUGUAAUGCAUUUCACCACUCCAUGAAAUAAUUGUGGUGGCCUGCUUGUGCCAGGACAGCAAACAAACAUCCAGAAGCCGUUACCCUUGCCCACUUGGUAGAUGUAAAACCUUUUUUGCACGCUCUUCCAUCUACAUAAAGCUUUUGAAAGUCAUACACGGUAUUGCCUCUGAGAAAAAGCAAGUGACGACCGAUAUCACCACCAGAUAUUGAGGAGAGCGUUCCAUCACUUGUCAUUGACGGCAUUUAGAUUUGAAUUCGCUUGCUACCAGUGCGGAUACCACCCAGCUGUGAUAGCAGAUGCUAAUUGGAAAUUGGCUUUCGAUGUCCCAAUUGGAACUUUUAAAAGGCCUGAUCUGAUUUCUGACGAAGAUCUAGCGGUAGACAUUGUAAAGGCAUGGUCAGAUCUGGACAAGUCACUAAUAGCGGAAGGAUUGAUAUCAGUUUUGGAUAUAGUGACACCGGAACAACUGUGACAAAUCCAUACUGCACCAUGAGGACAGAACACCAGAGUUGGAAACAUACUCCCAAAAACUGAGGUCAAAAAGGCUAUGAAAAAAAGAAACCCAGAUGGCAUAAAGCAUCACCUGAAACGGAUAAAUGAGUACGCUAACUCACUGAAUCAAAGAAGCUUCACAAAAAGGAUCUCCAGGAUGCUUCUUAUGCCAUGGGUGUGUCCUCAGAGGGAUCCAUCGCUGAUAUGCUCAACAGGCUUAAACUUUAAGGAUAUUUACCCUAAACCUUUUCUGAAGCUACAGAAAGCUGGUGGUGAGAAAUAGCUUGACAGAAACCUCUCCAACCUACUUCUGGUGGCAAACUGAACAUCCCACCUGACAGCACUAAGUCUUCAUUUGUGGCACAAUUGUAUACUAUAAUUGAUGACAAGGAAAAGUCGAAGAACUUAUUCACUGACGGCUGUGAUGAAAAUCAAACCCUGGCUUGUCUCUCCCAGCGAUUUCCAGUGUCAAAGGAUAUCUGCAGUGUUUGCCAACCGGACUUGUUGGAAGAGUCUUUGUUGUCUAUGCCAUGGUUGACUGAUGUAAGUGUUAAUGAGUAAUCUUGUUUUGCAAUUAAGAUCUGAAAUGAAUUGAACUGUAAACAUAGCUGCUGUGUAUGUAAAGUGCAAAUGCUGUCAUUUGACUUGAUGCAAAAUCAGAUUUAUAUUAAGUAUUAACAGAUGUAUUACAGGCAGUUAACUAUCGAGUAGCCCAGUUGGCUCAAGAGAACAUGGUAAUGACUCUUAAUUUUCUCCCUCUAUGACCUUUUUACAUCAGUAUUAACGAUACUUUGUUAUAGUAUGGUUCUUUGGCCCAUUUUGAUUUUAUUUUGUGGCCCCGAGAAUGGUCAGACAGCGGAGAAGUCAGUGACCAGGUUGUGCAACGCAUCCCUGUAGGUUCUUUAGUAAUUUUGUUUUUUGUAUUAUACAGAAAAAUGUUGAACAGAACACAUCUGUUCCUCCUACCUGGUUUUAUUGUGGUUGUGUCCGACAAAAUAUUUCUCCCUAGAAUUGUGGGUGGUCACUCUCCAGAGGGGGAACCAUUUCAUUCUUUGAGUUUUUGACUUCACUGCUAAACAGAUUAUAAUCUAUGAUUCACUUGGAAUUUACACAACGAUUAGUGAUAGUGACAUGGACCUCCUCAGGUAAACUACAUUCCUCAUGAUCUGGUAAUGUUAUGACAGUAUAUUCAUACUAAACUAGUGCCAUCACCUUGAGUGUUUUAGUGCGUUUCUGUGAGUUGCUUGGGAAAUCAUUCUCAUCUCCUCCAUCUCAUUCUUCAGUGCAUGUGUGGCCUGUGGUUUUGUAAGUCUAUUUUGUUGCCAACUAGGCAGCUAAAAAUGAUGUCCUAAAUCGUAGGGACACUGCAGAGGCUUUGACUCUAAAUCAAUGCAGGACUCUCCGUCUGCACCUUGCUGCACAAAUGCUUGAAAAUGUGAAACCUGAGGUCAGAUUCCUCUGUCAAAAUCUGUACUGCCAAUAAGAGAAACGCAGUUUUACAGCAAAAUUAUUUGUUACACAGGACUUUCCACAAACGACUGAAGAAAUGCUAAAAAUGCAAAAGAACGAACUUGGACUACAGGAAGAAGGGGCAAAGACUAUAGACUCCAGUAGCCAUUGCAGGGCGUGUUUGUUCCAGUGAGCAACUGCAAAAACAAAGUAUGUACAGUAGAACUCACACAUCAACUUCUAUUUAUUUUUACAUCAGUUUACACAACAAAUUUGACAAGAUUGGUUCUACUUAAGGCACCUAUGACUGUAAGGUAAAACAGUGUCUGGUUGUCAGGGUAUUUGUGCUCUCCCAUCCAUUCAAACAGGUGAGUAACGGGUAAGUUAUUACCCUACCUCAACCCCUGUGUUUUUUUUAUCUGCUGCUAUAUUUAUAUUUAUUUCUAUUUUGCACUACCUCAACUGCUGCUAUUGGAUACAUGAACAAUACAUGUUGUCAGGUCAGAUGACAAGUUCAUCAUCUUCUCAUUUUAUUACAUUUCAUUGUACGUUUUCUUUGUUUCGGUGCUCAGUGUCCUGUGUUUUCGUGUUCUCUUUCUUUUAUUUAUUUAUUUUAUUUUAUUUUUGCACUGUCUUGUUGCUUUGUUUGCACCUAGCUGCACACUUGGCACUUUAUGUGGCUUGGACGAACUUUCAGUCCUAGCUUUGUGGUGUCCUUUAUGUUUGAACUUUAUGUUGUAUGUUUCUGUAGCACCAGGGUCCUGGAGAAACGUUGUUUCAUUUCACUGUGUACAGCUAUAUGUGGCUGAAAUGAAAAUAAAGCUUCUUGAACUUGGAGUAUCUGUACAACCAGGUUUUGUGAGAGACCUGUGAGAGAUAGGAAACAAGAUUGCAGACAGUGUGGAGAUCAAAAGAGAGACACAAUGGAGAUAAUUAGAAACGUAUAAGCUGUGAAUUUAAGGUAAGCACAGGAGGUAAGCGCACUGUGAUCAUAGGUGAAGCCAGAGAUUGAGUGAUUUGAACCUAUAUGCUCUUUAUACUUCGUGUGCUUACUUAACAAGUGACCCCGAAAGUUGCGAGAGUGGUGGUGAGAGGGGAGACUGGUGUCUCUGGGACAAUUAGGAAUAUGUUUAAAUACAAAAACAUUAUAAGACUUCAAAAGAUAUUGUGGAAUAAAGUUGUCCCGCGUCUGUUUUCUAACAGUGUUUUCCAUGACCGUGUCCAGAAGUACCAAUGGGUGCGGUGCACAGUUUGUGAAAACUGGCUGCGUUUUCAGUGUGCUGGUGUUGAAGGGGACUGGAUGGCAAUGGAUUUAUUUUGUGGCUGCAACAUAACUCCUGAUUUUAAAUUACAUCCUGGAGUGUGUUCAAGCAGAAGCCAUUCUGACAGAUGGAAAGAUAAAGGUAAUAAACUAAAAAUGUUAUCCAAUGACCUGUACAAGGUUUAUUUACCUAAAUGGCAUUUGAUGAUUAUACAUGCAUUUCAGCCUGGUUUAAUCUACAUUGAAAUAUGCAUUUAAUAUUACUUUACUAAUAUUUGGAAAGAAAGCUGCAGAGUGGACAGGUUCUUUCCAACAGAAUGUAUGUGUGGAAAAAUCGAGGAUUUGAUCCAGCUCUCAGAAACUAUUACUGUCUGUUAGUAUAUUUAAUAAGAAGGUAAGUGGACUGUUAUUUCUCUUUUAUUUUAUUUUUUUUUACACACACUUUUCAAAAAAGUAAUAUUCCCUGUCAUAGGGUGGAUGAAAUGUCAUCUUGGUAGAUCACACUUUGCCAGUUUCACCCGCAUUUUUAGUCUUGUAUUGAUAAUGUCCUCUGUCUAGCUAAUUUUUUGUUUAUUUUCUUGAUUUUCCAAAUCCAGACAGAAGACCUAAUCCAUCGGCUGGAAAAAAAUCCUGUCUGUGCCUGGAACUGUAGCUGAGAAGCAGCUAUUUAUUACCGAGUGCUGCAGACAUAACAUCAGAAGACACUGAAAGCACAGAAGAGGGAAGACGCAUUCAAACCCUGAGCCCCUACCCCAAAAAAAAUUAACUUAUAUUAAAGCAGUGUAUUGAUGCCAGAGGCACAUGACACAGGAUGGUAUAUUUGCUCUUAGCCACGUUUUUGCUGUUUCAAGUCCAUUUGAUCACCUGAUGGUGUAAACCAGACAGCAUUUUAAUAAACAUUAGAAAUUUUCAUUAAUAUUAAAUUAUGAUGCUUGAAGCUUUGCACUGAAAGUCUUGGAAGAUUAUUUUACAUGUAUUGAAUCCAUGCAUUUAAAUAACUUGCACUUAUCUAGCAGGUGUAUAUUGUGGAAUAAAAAUUCUACUGUACUCACUACUAAAAUCUGACUCCAGCUCCACACUGACCCGACAGCUCAGUCUAAGUGAGACUCAUAGUUAGUAAGGCCUCAAAACUAAAUAAGCCAAUCAAGCAGACUAGAUGAAUGCAGAUAAGAGAUUUCAUUUUGUAAUCAGCGCUGACACAAGAAUUGAGAUGCUCACGCAUGAACGUCCCAACAACCUCUCUCUGGGGAACUCCAACUACAGCCUUUAUAUACAUUUCCCUUAUCUUCCCAAUGCAACACGUCACUGGUUCUUUGCCUAGACAAUCCCACCCAUCUUUCUUUUUUUAGACCUUUUAGAUUCUUUUUUACACCAUUAUCUUUGAAUUUACAACUUUUCAAAUACCAUUAUAAUUAAACUUCCCUAAAUCAUUAUAUUAAAAAUUGGGCGUUUCCGCCCCCACCAGUGGGAUUGUCUUUGGCCUCACUCUCACCAACACCUCAUUCUUCUUCAGGAGACAGGAUGGGUAAGUCCUCAGUUCUUCAGGGGCCAACACCCUUUCUUUUAUUACACUCUACACUUCACGGCUUUUCUGAUUUAUCCGCUGUCUUCUACGUAUGUACUCUAGAUAUUUCGCCUGGUACCACCAUUGCCAUCCAGCACGCGCUGUGCUUGCUUCAUGAUGAGCUCACUGCCGCUCAAGGUACCAGUGGAGCGAAGAUUGACUAUAAUAAUCUAGGGUGCGUCUCUGCCAUUGAUUGGUCCAAGUUUGGAAAGCCUGGUACCGCAGAGAAAGCCUGCCAGACUGACAUCAUUGAUACAACUAUUUGUCCUUCAAAGCCCUUGCAGCCUGUGUGCAAGGCCCGUGACAGACCAACAUGCGACCUAACGAAUAAACCUUCCCUGAGAACUCACUCCUGCUGUCCCCCGAUUAUUUCACACUACAUCAAACACACACCUCAUACAUAUAUCCUCAUUUACAAAAUUAUCUCCCACAAUAUCCAUCUCCAUAUAAUUUAAGUUUCACAUCUGGUUUUCCGUGGCAUGUGUCGGAGGACUGUGGCAUGAUUUACACUCUGAAUAGAAACCCUUUAGUGUUCAUUUAAUUACAUGCUUAAGUCUAUAAGAUGUUAAAUGACAAAUCUUGAUAGACAUUAUUCUUUGUUACAAAGAGAAUUUAUUAAUGAAAUGUAAAUGCUCUACAACCAUAAGGCAUUAGUUCUUUUGAC